UACGAAGGGGGGCUAGCGUUGCUCGGAAUCACUGGGCGUAAAGGGUGCGUAGGCGGGUCUUUAAGUCAGGGGUGAAAUCCCGAGGCUCAACCUCGGAACUGCCUUUGAUACUGGGGAUCUCGAGUCCGGGAGAGGUGAGUGGAACUGCGAGUGUAGAGGUGAAAUUCGUAGAUAUUCGCAAGAACACCAGUGGCGAAGGCGGCUCACUGGCCCGGAACUGACGCUGAGGUGCGAAAGCGUGGGGAGCAAACAGG
rnacentral:rRNA from 1 species